rnacentral:rRNA from 1 species
UACGGGGGGGGCAAGCGUUGUUCGGAAUUACUGGGCGUAAAGGGCUCGUAGGCUGCCAACUAAGUCAGACGUGAAAUCCCUCGGCUUAACCGGGGAACUGCGUCUGAUACUGGAUGGCUUGAAUCCGGGGGAGGGAUGCGGAAUUCCAGGUGUAGCGGUGAAAUGCGUAGAUAUCUGGAGGAACACCGGUGGCGAAGGCGGCAUCCUGGACCGGCAUUGACGCUGAGGAGCGAAAGCCAGGGGAGCAAACGGG